AGAGUUUGAUCCUGGCUCAGGAUGAACGCUAGCGGCAGGCCUAACACAUGCAAGUCGAGGGGUAACGAUGGCUUCGGCCAGGCGACGACCGGCGCACGGGUGAGUAUCGCGUUUGUAACCUUCCUCUAACUGGAGAAUAGCCCGAAGAAAUUCGGAUUAAUACUCCAUGACACUAUGAUCAGGCAUCUUUUUAUAGUCAAAGCUCCGGCGGUUAGAGAUGGGCAUGCGUGACAUUAGCUUGUUGGUGAGGUAACGGCUCACCAAGGCUACGAUGUCUAGGGGGUCUGAGAGGAUGAUCCCCCACACUGGUACUGAGACACGGACCAGACUCCUACGGGAGGCAGCAGUGAGGAAUAUUGGUCAAUGGGCGAAAGCCUGAACCAGCCAUGCCGCGUGAAGGAUGACGGCGCUACGCGUUGUAAACUUCUUUUGUACGGGAAGAAACACCUCUACGUGUAGAGGCUUGACGGUACCGUACGAAUAAGCAUCGGCUAACUCCGUGCCAGCAGCCGCGGUAAUACGGAGGAUGCAAGCGUUAUCCGGAUUUAUUGGGUUUAAAGGGUACGUAGGCGGAAAAUUAAGUCAGUGGUGAAAUCCCGCAGCUUAACUGUGGAACUGUCAUUGAUACUGGUUUUCUUGAAUGUAGUUGAGGUAGGCGGAAUGUGUAAUGUAGCGGUGAAAUGCUUAGAUAUUACACAGAACACCGAUUGCGAAGGCAGCUUACUAAGCUAUGAUUGACGCUGAGGUACGAAAGCGUGGGGAGCGAACAG
rnacentral:rRNA from 1 species